rnacentral:pre_miRNA from 1 species
UGUGUGAAGUAGAGGAACUUGCCUUUCUCCUCUACGAAUUACAUA